rfam:Salmo salar isolate Sally breed double haploid chromosome ssa01, whole genome shotgun sequence.
UGAAAUAUACUUUGUAAGUCGCUCUGGAUAAGAGCGUCUGCUAAAUGAUGUAAA